rnacentral:rRNA from 1 species
UACGUAGGGCGCAAGCGUUGUCCGGAAUUAUUGGGCGUAAAGAGCUCGUAGGCGGCUUGUCACGUCGGGUGUGAAAGCCCGGGGCUUAACCCCGGGUCUGCAUUCGAUACGGGCAGGCUAGAGUGUGGUAGGGGAGAUCGGAAUUCCUGGUGUAGCGGUGAAAUGCGCAGAUAUCAGGAGGAACACCGGUGGCGAAGGCGGAUCUCUGGGCCAUUACUGACGCUGAGGAGCGAAAGCGUGGGGAGCGAUCCGG